rnacentral:rRNA from 1 species
GACGAACGCUGGCGGCGUGCUUAACACAUGCAAGUCGAACGAUGAUGCCCAGCUUGCUGGGUGGAUUAGUGGCGAACGGGUGAGUAACACGUGAGUAACCUGCCCCUGACUCUGGGAUAAGCGUUGGAAACGACGUCUAAUACUGGAUAUGACUGCCGGCCGCAUGGUCUGGUGGUGGAAAGAUUUUUUGGUUGGGGAUGGACUCGCGGCCUAUCAGCUUGUUGGUGAGGUAAUGGCUCACCAAGGCGACGACGGGUAGCCGGCCUGAGAGGGUGACCGGCCACACGGGGACUGAGACACGGCCCAGACGCCUACGGGAGGCAGCAGUGGGGAAUAUUGCACAAUGGGCGAAAGCCUGAUGCAGCAACGCCGCGUGAGGGAUGACGGCCUUCGGGUUGUAAACCUCUUUUAGUAGGGAAGAAGCGAAAGUGACGGUACCUGCAGAAAAAGCACCGGCUAACUACGUGCCAGCAGCCGCCGCCGUAA